UGUGUAAACAAAGUCAUAGACAAACAAACUUUAUAUUAUGAAGAAACUUUCAUAAUUAUAUUCAUUAAUGAUAUAAUUUGAAAAAAAUUUGUAUAAUUGAUGGAUUCAGAUUUUGUAAAAUUAGUGCGUUUUCUAGUUGGUGUGAUAAUAUUUGUAACUGAUUUAGUAGGUACGUGAUUUUGUAUUUAACUUUAAGAUAUCACGUAAGUAUAUUAUUUUCGAUUUUUUGCUUAUAUGUCACUAAAAAGUAAUGUAUGACACUCAGACGAAGUAGUGAACUUUUCAGUUACCCUCGGUAUAUCAGCGUCUGCUUCCUUUUCGUCCUUGUUUCAUAUGAACUACCAAUUAAGAAUAAAUUAAAUGAAGGUUGCAACUAUUUCAUAUAACAAUAUGUGAAUUUGAAAUUAUUUCAGUAUAUAAUUUUCGUUAUACCAGAAAUUGAUUGUUUUAAUAGAACACUCUGUGUUUUUAUUACAUUCUUAAAAUCCACAAGAAAUUUCAAUAGAAUGUGAUCUAGUUUGUUUCAGCUUUCAAUUUUUUAAAAAUUUUGACUAAUGCAACACAAAAACAUUAUCAGAAGUUUCCUAUAUUUGUAGAUAUUCUUUUAACAAAUAAUACAGGGUGCUUAGAAUGGUUCUAAUUAAUAUGAAUGCUGAAAGACGCCUCAAUCUCAAAGUAUAUAUGACCACUUUGUUUGAUCAGUCUUUAAGUUUACAGGCACGACGACAGAUUUCAGACAACCUUCAGGAUCUUCGGUCUAGAAAUGAAUAUCUACCACAAUUGAAUGUUUUAUUUUUUUUACAAUGUUUUAGAAAGUUUCAUCUCUUUAUGUCUUGGUUCCGAUGUAACCCCAGUAGCUAUUCUUACGUGAAGGUGCAGUUUUGGAGACAAUGGGGUUCUAUACCUGUCAAGAGGAGGUACCUGGAAGGAGAGGGUAGCAACCUUAAGAUCUGGAGCCGUCAAGCCCUGAGUAGUCUCCUUUUUUUUCUCUCCGCACCACUGAUUUGUGGUGUUUGAGCCGGGAAUUGUCAAAAGCACCGGUUAGAGCUUCGACAUCGGUACGAAUCGAUGCUUUAUUUGCUCAGAACCCUCUGGGGUCAAAGAAGAAUUUGUUACAGUUCCUAUUCUUGGGCCGUUGGGUCCCUGAGGGGGUUCAGAGUGGAAAGUUAUGAAACUACGCGACGGUGUUUGUGAGUAAAUAGUUGCAAGCUGGAAAAUCAUGAUGUGAACGAAGGGAAUUGUGAAAAAAUACAUUUCAGUGUAACUUUAUCUAAAUUACGGUUAAUUUUUUCUCCGCUUGAAUUGUGGGGUGAGUUAAUCAGUUAAUAGGUGGGUUCAUCUUCUUCGGUUAAGAAUUUGUUUCGUUUUCAAUGAAUUUGAGGUGAAAGGGGAAUGAAAUAAACAACAACUCACAAUAAAAAAAUUUAUUCAC